GACGAACGCUGGCGGCGUGCUUAACACAUGCAAGUCGAACGAUGAAACCUAGCUUGCUAGGUCGAUUAGUGGCGAACGGGUGAGUAACACGUGACUAACCUGCCCCUUUCUCUGGGAUAACGCUCCGGAAGGAGUGCUAAUACCGGAUACUCACACCGAGGCACAUGCCUUGGUGUGGAAAGUUUUUCGGAAAGGGAGGGAGUCGCGGCCUAUCAGCUUGUUGGUGAGGUAGCGACUCACCAAGGCGACGACGGGUAGCCGGACUGAGAGGGCGACCGGGCACACUGGGACUGAGACACGGCCCAGACUCCUAGGGGAGGCAGCAGUGGGGAAGAUUGCCCCAUGGGAGCAAGCCUGAUGCAGCGACGCCGCGGGAGGGAUGAAGGUCUUCGGAUUGUAAACCUCUUUCAGUAUGGACGAAGCGAAAGUGACGGUACCUAAAGAAGAAGCACCGACUAACUACGUGCCAGCCGCCGCGGUAA
rnacentral:rRNA from 1 species